CCUGGGACUGGGUGUCUGAUGGCGUGACCAGCCCAGGAAGAGGGACAGCAGAGCCCGGAGAGCACAGGAACAGCCCUGGUCAGCAUCGGGGGGGGGGGGGCUCUUUCACCCCGACGACAGCUGGAAAUUCUUUCUGCUCUGCUGCAAGCUGAGUGUGACAAACCGGAGACUUUUCAAACCCAGUCCCAAACACAGGCAUUCUCCCCUCGUCAGUCUGUCUCCUGGGCCUCCGCGGGACCGCUGUACUUCCCACGCAAAGCAAAAACAUUCGACUGUGGGAGUCCUUUCCUGGGUCAGCUUGCUCCUGCUUAUCCUUGAAAGGGAACAUGAGCGCCUCCUGAGAACUGUUUUUCUGCUCCAGGUUGUAUGGAAUGUGGUAUAGAGGACUCUCGAAAGGUCCCUUGCCGUUCCCAGCAGCGAUGGCACCAUCCGCGCCAUCCCCAGGGUGGCAGGCCGUUGUGUUUCCUCAGCCAGGUCUUUGAAAUUUACCAAAAGGAUUUGAGUCUCAGGCAUGAUCCUUCCACUGGCUUUUGUGAAGGUAAACGAACCCAUUCCUUCUGAAACUGAAAAACAGUAUCCUUCGCUGGCUUUGAGGUAAGGCCACCGCUAGACUGGCAGCAAGGAGAACUGGAAAUGAGUCUAACAGGCACUGGGAUGCCCCAGGCUGAAUCCGGUGGUGGAGCUGAGGGUGUUCUGUGUGGUGGAGGCCCCAGCACAAAGACACACAAGCCCUUGCUGAAUGAAAAAGCUUGGCUGUCUCCAAAUUCCCACAAAGUGAUCUAUGUGACUACCGGUGUGGACGGUCAUACAGAGGGGUGGUGUCCUAUUUGACUUUUAGAAAAACACACUGAUUUGUUUAUUUUUAUAUGGUGCAUGUCCUUAGAGGAGCUUCAAGCCUUAACAAGCUUCAGAAAUCUUCCUGCUAUGAAGACGGUGCCGUGGGGAGUGCAGGAAAUGCUCUGCCCACCCCUGCAGAAGACCUAGCUGGGGGAAAGCUUUAUCGUGGGUGUUGAGGGUUAGAGGGGUGGGAGAUUUAGAGGAGAACAAAGAGGGAGAUUUUUUCUCUGGAGACGCUGGGGAUGAUGGCAUCCUUUGCUAAAAAAGGUGAGCAAGUAAUUUCCCUAGAGGUUCAGAAAAUAGGGCUGUACUCCCUGUUGGCUGUUCAGUGUAGGCUUGGGGGUGGUGGCGGGAAAAGGGGCCGGGUGACCCCUGGCUCCUUAUCCAAGGUCUCUCUGUUCUGAUUCCAUUCCACCCAGUGUGUGGGAGGAAGAGAAGAGUUGAGGACAGUUGGAGGGCAUGGGCCAUCGGAUGAUGGGUACCUUGUCUCUCUAGAACGGCACUAGGAACCAGGAGGCCAGUGCUGGGAUGUGAUGCUACCAUCAACUGGCACCAAAGACCUGGGGCCACUCUGACCGCAGUUUUAUCGUCUGUGAGAUGAAGGGAAAGGAUGUGCAGUUUCAGGUUGGCCUGUAGGACCACACAGCCAGGGGGACAACACACACACACACACACACUGGGAUGCAGUUGUAAUAGGAAACAAAUACUACUUUAAGGGCAAAUGGGGAACUGGAGAGAUGGAUUCUACCUUUGGGAUCUUACAGGUCUCUUGGAGCAGUGGGUUAUGGAUGAGGCCUUCAGUAUGGUUGGACGAGGUGCUGACAGGCAUGGGAGCAAAGAAGAGGAGGUGUCUCUGACUGAUAAGACAAGUGAACAAAGAGAGGAGCCAGAAAACUGGGGAAUCCCAUUAAAUGCAGCUUCUGAUCCGGGAAUGAGGGCAGGGGACGACAUAGCACAAAGGGACAGGAGCCGAUGAUGUCCCACCUUGGGCCGGGAUGCGGAGGGAGGCUGUGAAAAGUGACUCACUCUGUGAGGACUCAUGGGCACCUGCUCGAGGACACACCGUGGUCACCCCAGCGACCUGCAGUUGCUACCCCGGGCCAGGGAAGGUGGCAACCCCACUCUGAGGUCAAGCCAUUCGACCUUGAGAUUCCAGCAGUUUCCCUUUCCCAGCCCCUGGGAACCCCCCUCACCUCUCCCACAAGGCCAUGUCUGGAAGCCGGGGAGCGCUCCUGGCAUAGCCCUGAGUAGGGGGAGCUCUGCUGGGGACGGAGGACAGGCCACCGGCACUUCCUGCCCUGGGACGACAAGCCAACCACCCGGCUGGACACCCCACUCUCAGCUUGUUUGCUCAGUUUGAUUCUCUUUCUCCCCCUGGCGAGCUUCAGCGUGGAGCUGUUUGCGGUUCAUCAGCAGUUUAUGGAAACUGUGGCGUCUGGGGAGGAAAGAGGAGUGAGUUCUCAGAUGCCGUGUCCUGGGCCUUCCUAGUAGGUCUCCCCAGGCCUGAGGCGGGCCUCCCUGGGCCAGACCCUCAGCUCUUGUCAGAGCCCCUCAUGGUGUACUUUUUUAGGCCCCUUGGGACAUGGACCAAUGCCUGCCAGAAACGGCGUGGGCUCCUUCCCUCCAAAUCAGAACUUCCUUUCUUUCUUCCCUCUGCAAAGACCUGGGGGUUUCUUUGCCUUUCAGCCCCCGACUCUUCCUCACUUUGCAAGAAGGACGCAGGAGGUGGGGCGUCUGGCCUUCCUAUGGCCUUGUCCUCCCCGGUGAUCUACGACUGCUCCCGCAUUGCCAGACCCCCUCUGUCCCCUGCACCACAGCGGGAGGGGGAUGGGUGGGGGGUGGGGGACGCAGCCUCCAGCCCUUCCUGGCCUUGCCUCCUCCACAUCUAUCCGUCCCGUCAUUCUAUCCACCCAUCCCUGUGUUCCUUGUCCCUGCCCCGUGCCCCUGGUGAUUUGUCCACAUUGGAGGAGGGAAGCUCUGAAGGAUUUGUGCAGAGACCCUGGACAGAGGAAGAUAAAUGGAAUUUGCAAUAAAUCUAGGAGCAAAGUUGUAACUUGACUUAAAAACAAACAAAAGGGCCAGAACUGCACUUAAGCUCAGCAGAAGCUCAUCUCCCAGUGUAAACAGAAAAGGGCGGACGUGGGCCAAAGAGCCUCGCUCUGGCCUGGGACAGCCAGGGAGGGGUCUGGAGCAGGCUGGCGGCCGCCCACUUCCUCUGGAAGGGACUGGUGGAGAGGUCUCUGCAGCCUCGUGAAUAGAGAAAGAAGAUGCUGGUCCUGUGGCUAUUUGCCUCUCGUUUUUCCAUGACUUACCCUUUUGAAAUGACACUCUCAGGAUCAGGCUGAGAAGGCUGGUGGGCGGAAAUGCCUUCUCAGCCUGUGACUGUGGCGAGGGUCGGUGGAAAAAAGCUUGGAGCUGUAGAGCACAAACCCAAGUGAUGGGCAUGUGCUCCCAAGGCCUCAGUCUUCCCCAGACUGGAACAGUAGGGAGUUCACUUAGACCUCUCCACUAGCUCCAAGAGGCAGAGCUCAUCACAUUGGUCUCCCCGCAGACAGCGGCCUGCUCAGCAUGACCUUGGAGGGGUCACUCAGGUGGGAAUCGCCAUGCCUCGCCUAGAGGCAACUACCACAGUUACAACAUUUUGCCUUUACAUAGAAUUUUGAAGUGCUGCACAGAUCUUCUGUGUGGAACAGAUACCGGCCAUGUUUUACAGGUAGGAAAACUGACACAGAGAGGGAAAAAUACCGAUCCAAGGUCACACAGCUUAUCAGCAGUUGACCUCGGUCCGUGCAGUGGAAAAGUCGGGUCUUGAAAUACAGUCAGCUGAAGAUGAACUGUGUGACCUUGGGUGAGUUAUUUAAUCUCUCUUGGUGCAGGCUUUCCUCUAUAAGAAGCGACUCACUCCGAAGUUUAAGCAGAUCGGCUGACCCCCCCUAAUAAGCCCAGACUGCUCUGUGCCUGGGCUUAUUAACCUCUGAGGAACUGAA